UAGAGACCGAUAGCAACCACGUGAUCAGUAAAAAUCGUGUAUUUUCACGUGAAAUUAUUUUUCGGAAUUCCGUACAUCUCCAUAGAGUAGUUGAAAAACAAAAAGGGGUUCCGAAAGUACAAGUUGUUGCUGUGACUGAAUCGAUGAUUGAGAGGGUCGUCUCGACGAAAGAUAGAGAAAUUUGGCCAUAGUUUAGAUUAGGAAUACGUCAAUGUAAUAAUAGUGGACUAAAUGUUUCGUCCGUGCAGAAUGGCACUUUUUACCUCACGAAAUUCACCACCAUGCAUAGCUGCGCUACGUAAACAAAGUUGUUGAUGUAGCGUGAUCGUGAUGUCCCAGUGCUGCGAGUUUCAAUACUGUUUAUGUAGUCAUUGAGAGUUUAAACAAAGUUUCUUCUGAGAAGAGGAAUUCAAUGGAUGCAUUCAACGUGGACAACGAAAUCAUAAUUUCGUUUGCAUCAUCCUAAGGACCAGUGCAAGUUGAAAUGGGCUUCCAGCCAACAACUUCAACAGCAAUUUGCCAUGAAAAUCACCAAGAAAGGUAUUUCAUUUACAUUGAUGAUGUCAUAUCCCCUGGAGCCCACAACUUUACAGGUUACAGAGAAAAUUCAAGAACUUCUGCAAAAUGUGGGACUUGGAUAGAAUCAAUAAUGUAUUUGUGAGCCCAGAGCAAUGGAUAUAUUGUGCAACAUACUAUUCUAAAGUGUGAAUUUAAUGGAAAACAAGUACAUGUACUCAUGUAUUACAUGUCUUUUUUAAGACAAUAAUAUUGAAUAAAUAUAGAGGAAGUGUCA